rnacentral:rRNA from 1 species
UACGAAGGGGGCUAGCGUUGCUCGGAUUUACUGGGCGUAAAGGGCGCGUAGGCGGCCAGCGCAAGUCAGUUGUGAAAUCUCCGAGCUUAACUCGGAAAGGUCAACUGAUACUGCGCGGCUAGAGUGCAGAAGGGGCAACUGGAAUUCUCGGUGUAGCGGUGAAAUGCGUAGAUAUCGAGAGGAACACCUGCGGCGAAGGCGGGUUGCUGGGCUGACACUGACGCUGAUGCGCGAAAGCCAGGGGAGCGAACGGG